rnacentral:rRNA from 1 species
UACGGAGGAUGCGAGCGUUAUCCGGAUUUAUUGGGUUUAAAGGGUGCGCAGGCGGAUUUUUAAGUCAGCGGUCAAAUCGUGGGGCUCAACCCCAUCCAGCCGUUGAAACUGGAAGACUUGAGUGUGUUUGAGGUAGGCGGAAUGCGUGGUGUAGCGGUGAAAUGCAUAGAUAUCACGCAGAACUCCGAUUGCGAAGGCAGCUUACUAAGCCAUAACUGACACUGAAGCACGAAAGCGUGGGGAUCAAACAGG